ACGGAGGGUGCAAGCGUUAAUCGGAAUUACUGGGCGUAAAGCGCACGCAGGCGGUUUGUUAAGUCAGAUGUGAAAUCCCCGGGCUCAACCUGGGAACUGCAUCUGAUACUGGCAAGCUUGAGUCUCGUAGAGGGGGGUAGAAUUCCAGGUGUAGCGGUGACAUGCGUAGAGAUCUGGCUGAAUACCGGUGGCGUAGGCGGCCCCCUGGACUAAGACUGACGCUCAUGUGCGAAAGCGUGUGGCGCAAACAG
rnacentral:rRNA from 1 species